rnacentral:rRNA from 1 species
UUCUGGCUCAGAACGAACGCUGGCGGCGCGUCUUAAGCAUGCAGUCGGACGGCAAGGGGAGCUUGCUCCCCCUAGAGUGGCGGACUGGUGAGUAACGCGUGGGUGACCUACCCUGGAGAUGGGGAUAGCCAUUAGAAAUAGUGGAUAAUACCGAAUACGCUCUUUUUGCUGUGGCGAGAAGAGGAAACAGGCUACGGCCUGGCUCGAGGAUGGGCCCGCGUCCCAUUAGCUAGUUGGUGAGGUAACGGCCCACCAAGGCGACGAUGGGUAUCCGGCCUGAGAGGGUGUACGGACACAUUGGGACUGAGAUACGGCCCAAACUCCUACGGGAGGCAGCAGUAGGGAAUCUUCCGCAAUGGACGAAAGUCUGACGGAGCAACGCCGCGUGAGUGAAAGAAGGUUUUCGGAUCGUAAAACUCUGUUGUCAGAGAAGAACAAGUUGGAGAGUAACUGCUCCAGCCUUGACGGUAUCUGACCAGAAAGCCACGGCUAACUACGUGCCAGCCGCCGC